GGGUUGUGAGGUUAAGCGACUAAGCGUACACGGUGGAUGCCCUGGCAGUCAGAGGCGAUGAAGGACGUGCUAAUCUGCGAUAAGCGUCGGUGAGGUGAUAUGAACCGUUAUAACCGGCGAUUUCCGAAUGGGGAAACCCAGUGUGUUUCGACACACUAUCAUUAACUGAAUCCAUAGGUUAAUGAGGCGAACCGGGGGAACUGAAACAUCUAAGUACCCCGAGGAAAAGAAAUCAACCGAGAUUCCCCCAGUAGCGGCGAGCGAACGGGGAGGAGCCCAGAGCCUGAAUCAGUGUGUGUGUUAGUGGAAGCGUCUGGAAAGGCGUGCGAUACAGGGUGACAGCCCCGUACACAAAAAUGCACAUAUUGUGAGCUCGAUGAGUAGGGCGGGACACGUGGUAUCCUGUCUGAAUAUGGGGGGACCAUCCUCCAAGGCUAAAUACUCCUGACUGACCGAUAGUGAACCAGUACCGUGAGGGAAAGGCGAAAAGAACCCCGGCGAGGGGAGUGAAAAAGAACCUGAAACCGUGUACGUACAAGCAGUGGGAGCCUCUUAAUGGGGUGACUGCGUACCUUUUGUAUAAUGGGUCAGCGACUUAUAUUCUGUAGCAAGGUUAACCGAAUAGGGGAGCCGAAGGGAAACCGAGUCUUAACUGGGCGUUAAGUUGCAGGGUAUAGACCCGAAACCCGGUGAUCUAGCCAUGGGCAGGUUGAAGGUUGGGUAACACUAACUGGAGGACCGAACCGACUAAUGUUGAAAAAUUAGCGGAUGACUUGUGGCUGGGGGUGAAAGGCCAAUCAAACCGGGAGAUAGCUGGUUCUCCCCGAAAGCUAUUUAGGUAGCGCCUCGUGAAUUCAUCUCCGGGGGUAGAGCACUGUUUCGGCAAGGGGGUCAUCCCGACUUACCAACCCGAUGCAAACUGCGAAUACCGGAGAAUGUUAUCACGGGAGACACACGGCGGGUGCUAACGUCCGUCGUGAAGAGGGAAACAACCCAGACCGCCAGCUAAGGUCCCAAAGUCAUGGUUAAGUGGGAAACGAUGUGGGAAGGCCCAGACAGCCAGGAUGUUGGCUUAGAAGCAGCCAUCAUUUAAAGAAAGCGUAAUAGCUCACUGGUCGAGUCGGCCUGCGCGGAAGAUGUAACGGGGCUAAACCAUGCACCGAAGCUGCGGCAGCGACACUAUGUGUUGUUGGGUAGGGGAGCGUUCUGUAAGCCUGUGAAGGUGGCCUGUGAGGGUUGCUGGAGGUAUCAGAAGUGCGAAUGCUGACAUAAGUAACGAUAAAGCGGGUGAAAAGCCCGCUCGCCGGAAGACCAAGGGUUCCUGUCCAACGUUAAUCGGGGCAGGGUGAGUCGACCCCUAAGGCGAGGCCGAAAGGCGUAGUCGAUGGGAAACAGGUUAAUAUUCCUGUACUUGGUGUUACUGCGAAGGGGGGACGGAGAAGGCUAUGUUGGCCGGGCGACGGUUGUCCCGGUUUAAGCGUGUAGGCUGGUUUUCCAGGCAAAUCCGGAAAACCAAGGCUGAGGCGUGAUGA
rnacentral:rRNA from 1 species